rnacentral:rRNA from 1 species
UGAGGAAUAUUGGUCAAUGGGCGCAAGCCUGAACCAGCCAUCCCGCGUGCAGGAAGACGGCCCUAUGGGUUGUAAACUGCUUUUCCAGGGGGAGAAUUUUUCUGUCGUGACAGGAAUUGACGGUACCCUGGGAAUAAGCAUCGGCUAACUCCGUGCCAGCAGCCGCGGUAAUACGGAGGAUGCGAGCGUUAUCCGGAUUUAUUGGGUUUAAAGGGUGCGUAGGCGGAUUGAUAAGUCAGUGGUGAAAACCUGCAGCUUAACUGUAGACUUGCCGUUGAUACUGUCAGUCUUGAGUGUGGUCAAGGUAGCGGAAUGUGUAAUGUAGCGGUGAAAUGCUUAGAUAUUACACAGAACACCGAUUGCGAAGGCAGCUUACUGGGCCAUUACUGACGCUGAUGCA